rnacentral:rRNA from 1 species
AGAGUUUGAUCCUGGCUCAGAUUGAACGCUGGCGGCAUGCCUUACACAUGCAAGUCGAACGGUAACGGGCCUUCGGGUGCCGACGAGUGGCGAACGGGUGAGUAAUGCAUCGGAACGUACCUUUCAGUGGGGGAUAACGUAGCGAAAGUUACGCUAAUACCGCAUAUUCUGUGAGCAGGAAAGCAGGGGAUCGCAAGACCUUGCGCUGAUUGAGCGGCCGAUGUCAGAUUAGCUAGUUGGUGAGGUAAAGGCUCACCAAGGCGACGAUCUGUAGCGGGUCUGAGAGGAUGAUCCGCCACACUGGAACUGAGACACGGUCCAGACUCCUACGGGAGGCAGCAGUGGGGAAUUUUGGACAAUGGGGCAACCCUGAUCCAGCCAUGCCGCGUGAGUGAAGAAGGCCUUCGGGUUGUAAAGCUCUUUCGGCCGGGAAGAAAUCGCAUGGGUUAAUACCCUGUGCGGAUGACGGUACCGGCAUAAGAAGCACCGGCUAACUACGUG